ensembl:lncRNA
CUAAAAUCAAAUCUGCCUGGGGAAGGGCUCCAUGCAAGCACUGAUGGGCUGUAUGCUGUCAGCUGCCAACUGCAUUGCAUCCCGUUCUGAAACUGACUGAGUCAUGAAUGCUGAGCAGCAGUGGGAGAGCACCUGCCUGAGCUGCGUGUGACAGCCUGUGGAUGUUGGUGGGACUGAGUGCUGUACACAGAAUGAGGGCACUCCCUGCUGUGCCUGAGGUUAUGGUUUGCAGUAGUUUAAAAGAGGAUUGCUUUACAGGAAGGAUGUCCAAGCGCUGCUCAGAAGAAGCCAUAUAACUGCAUUAUUGCAUGUCCAUGCGGGUGGCUGUGCUGUGCCGGAGUCUCAGAGUCCAUGGAGUCCAUGGUUCAGAUUAAACACAGUCUCACCUAGAAGAG